CCUACGGGUGGCAGCAGUGAGGAAUAUUGGUCAAUGGACGAGAGUCUGAACCAGCCAAGUAGCGUGAAGGAUGACUGCCCUCUGGGUUGUAAACUUCUUUUAUAUGGGAAUAAAACAGGGUAUGCAUACCCUCUUGUGUGUACCCUAUGAAUAAGGAUCGGCUAACUCCGUGCCAGCAGCCGCGGUAAUACGGAGGAUUCGAGCGUUAUCCGGAUUUAUUGGGUGUAAAGGGAGCGUAGGUGGAGUGUUAAGUCAGUUGUGAAAGUUUGCGGCUCAACAGUAAAAUUGCAGUUGAAACUGGCGUGCUUGAGUACUGGAGAGGAGAGCGGAAUUCGUGGUGUAGCGGUGAAAUGCUUAGAUAUCACGAAGAACAC
rnacentral:rRNA from 1 species